rnacentral:misc_RNA from 1 species
GAUGAAGAACGCAGCGAAAUGCGAUAAGUAGUGUGAAUUGCAGAAUUCAGUGAAUCAUCGAAUCUUUGAACGCACAUUGCGCCCCUUGGUAUUCCAUGGGGCAUGCCUGUUCGAGCGUCAUUUGUACCCUCCAGCCCUGCUGGGUAUUGGGCGUUUUGUUCCGCUACGCGCGUGAACUCGCCUCAAAUGCAUUGGCAGCCCGCCGUCCCGUGUGGGAGCGCAGCACAUUUUGCGCUCUCCGCUGCUGACGGUGGCAUCCACAAGUCUACCAUUUUACGCUUGACCUCGGAUCAGGUAGGGAUACCCGCUGAACUUAAGCAUAUCAAUAAGCGGAGG